UCUUAAUAAUAAACCCGCUAUCUAAUUUGGAAUUUUAAUUACUUAUUAAGGUUAAGUUAUUUGGUUGGGGCGACGAGAAGUUAAUUAACGCUUCAAAUUUAAACAACAGUGUAAGGUUGAAUGACCCGGAGUCCGAUUAUAAAUACAAGU
rnacentral:rRNA from 1 species